rnacentral:rRNA from 1 species
GACGAACGCUGGCGGCGCGCCUAACACAUGCAAGUCGAACGAGCGAGAGAGAGCUUGCUUUCUCGAGCGAGUGGCGAACGGGUGAGUAACGCGUGAGGAACCUGCCUCAAAGAGGGGGACAACAGUUGGAAACGACUGCUAAUACCGCAUAAGCCCACGGCUCGGCAUCGAGCAGGGGGAAAAGGAGCAAUCCGCUUUGAGAUGGCCUCGCGUCCGAUUAGCUAGUUGGUGGGGUAACGGCCCACCAAGGCGACGAUCGGUAGCCGGACUGAGAGGUUGAACGGCCACAUUGGGACUGAGACACGGCCCAGACUCCUACGGGAAGCAGCAGUGGGGAAUAUUGCACAAUGGGGGAAACCCUGAUGCAGCGACGCCGCGUGGAGGAAGAAGGUCUUCGGAUUGUAAACUCCUGUUGUUGGGGAAGAUAAUGACGGUACCCAACAAGGAAGUGACGGCUAACUACGUG